UGAUUAGAUUUUGAUUAAGAUUUGAUUUAAGAUUACAAUUGAAUUAGGAUUUAGAAUUUGACUAAAGUUUGAUUAGGAUUUAGAAUUGGAGUAAGAUUUAUAAUUUGGUUUAGAAUUUGCUUAGGAUUUAGGAUUUAAAAUUUGCAUAGGAUUUUGUUAAGGUUUAGGGUUUGUUUAAGAUUUAGGAUUUAGAAUUUGCUUAGGAUUUGGUUAAGAUUUAGUUAGGAUUUAGGGUUGAAGUUGGAUUUAAGAUUUGAUUUAGGAAUUAUUUAGGAUUUAGAAUUUAUGAUUUGCUUAGGAUUUAGAAUUUAUUUAGGAUUUAAGAUUUAGAAUUUGCUUAGAAUUUAAGAUUUAAGAUUUACUUAAGAUUUAGGAUUUGGCAUAGGAUUUGAUUAGAGUUUAUUAGAGUUUUAACUAAGUUUAAAUUAGGACUUAGUUGAGAUUUAUUUAAGACAUAUUUGUAAUUAUUCUAUUAUUUCUUUAGGAUUUUUUAGGAAUUCUUUUAAGAUUUAUUAUGGAUUUGUUUUGAAC
rnacentral:lncRNA from 1 species